rnacentral:rRNA from 1 species
AUUGAACGCUGGCGGCAUGCCUUACACAUGCAAGUCGAACGGCAGCACGGGAGCAAUCCUGGUGGCGAGUGGCGAACGGGUGAGUAAUAUAUCGGAACGUGCCCAGUCGUGGGGGAUAACGUAGCGAAAGCUACGCUAAUACCGCAUACGAUCUAUGGAUGAAAGCGGGGGAUCGCAAGACCUCGCGCGAUUGGAGCGGCCGAUAUCAGAUUAGGUAGUUGGUGAGGUAAAGGCUCGCCAAGCCGACGAUCUGUAGCUGGUCUGAGAGGACGACCAGCCACACUGGGACUGAGACACGGCCCAGACUCCUACGGAGGGCAGCAGUGGGGAAUUUUUGGGACAAUGGGCGGCAAGCCUGAUCCAGCAAUG